CCAAGAUUCCCUCUUCAGGUCACAGAUCCUGGUCUCAGCAGCAAUUCUGUAGUUUUUGGCCAGAGCAGGGGUGAAGCCAAGGGACCAAGCAGUUCCAGCCUUCUGAGUAGCUGAGAUUGCAGGCUCAACCCACUUUACGUACGAAGUAACGGGAGAGUGGAGAAGUGAGGCAGCUCACCAUCUGCACUGGCUGGCUUGCUCCGUGCCUCUGGCUUCCCCGUGCUCCUGUGCUGAGCCAUCUUUGUGUGUCGCCAGGCUGGAGCACCCUCUCCGUGUGUUUGUCUUCAAUUCUUCUGAGAGGAAGAACCAGCGUGUAGAGAUCAAGUUCAGACCAGGCCUGGUGCAGACUGGGCUGGCUCCUCACCAAGACACUGGCGACCUUUUAGCCAGCAUGAGCUUAGAAAAGGCUUCCUGCCAUGACUGGUCUGGACCUCCUGCCUGGACACCUUCCAUCAGGAACUUGAAGAGCUGGAGCCCUGGCCCCCCUGCGAGGAUGAUGGCUUUCCAGUGGCAACAUCAUGGAGACUUGUCCAAGAAGGAAGGAGCACCCACUGACUGCAUGCUUGACCCCCCAGCAGUUAAGGGCAGCAGUGGCCUGGGGCUGGCUGGUUUGCCUUGUCCUGGGCAUCCACGUGCAGGCUGCUCUUUAGCAAGCAAGUUCCUGCUAAAGCUCGGCGUGAUGCCACCACCAGCCCAGGCACAGGGAAGAGAUAGAUCUUGGGCAGUUGCAUAACUGCCCUGAGGUUUCCUCAUCUGUUAAGUGGGGAUGGUAAACUGUCUAUUUACAGGAGUGUCGUGGGGAUUAAGGAGAUGGUGCUUAUAUAAAUACUUGGCCAAGGAGCCUGAUAACUACUCCAAAAGUGUCUAAAAAGAAGCUGCCCUGUGAUAGGGAAGCUCACCAGCAAACUAAGGAGCACCAGGAGAGAUCAGAGAGGAGUCAGCCCUCCACAGCCCUGGGUUCUGCAACCACUACUGACUGAAAAUGCACACAGAAAAUUAGGUCUGCAACGUUGUCGGUAUUCCCCAAACAAUGCCGUACAGUAACUAUUGACACAGCAUUUACAUCACAUUAGGCAUGGUGGGCUAUCUAGAGAUGAUAUAAAGUGUGAGAGAAGAUAUAUGUAGAUUAUAUGCAAAUGCUCCAUUUUAUAUAGGCACUUGUGGUACUCUGGGUUUGGGUAUCCUUGGGGUCCUGGAAACAGUCCCCUUCCAAUGAGCUAACAAAGCCACUCAGAGGGGGAGGUCAGUGAAGGUCUUGAAGAGGAGAUCAAGAAAAUGCAGGCAAAUAAGCAAAUGGAGCGUAAGGAACAUGUUUGGGCUGCAGAAUUUCAAUGACAUUGAGAGAUGGCCCUUCCAGGGAGUGGAGCUGACCUCCUCUGCCCCUGAGCGCGCGCUUAGAGCCACAGAGUGGAGGGGAGAAAUCGGUGGUGGAGAAAGCUUGCAGACAUCAUUUUACCCAAGGGACGGGGUAAACUGACUCAGCAGUGAUAACCUGUGCAGACAUUGUACAGGCUCUGAUCUGGGGAGACAGAAGCCCCUCACCUUCCUGUUACUCUUACCAAAAAGGCAGAAUUGCAGUCUGAUCAUGAGAGAACAUCAGAAAAAUCCAUGCUGAGGACACUCUACAAAAUGCCUCAGCAGGACCUUUCCAAGGGGUUGAGGUCAUGGUCAUGGAAAACUAGGAGGGACCGAGGAAGCCUCUUGGGUGAGAGGAGGCCCUAUGGGUGGACACAUAACAGGUCCUGGGCUGACCCUGGAAAUGGAAAGUGCACUGGUGGGAUGCUGGUGGAGGCUGGGUAAAGCCUGUGGCUUGGUUGGUAGUCUUGUACAAUGUUCACUACUUAGUUUGACAAAUGUGCAUGAUUAUGAAAGAUGCUAACUGCGGGGAACCUGGGUGAAGGGUACAUGGGACUCUAUUUUUGCA